UGGGGAAUUUUAGACAAUGGGCGAAAGCCUGAUCCAGCCAUGCCGCGUGAGUGAAGAAGGCCUUCGGGUUGUAAAGCUCUUUUGUCCGGGAGGAAAUCCUGGCCUCUAAUACAGGUCGGGGAUGACAGUACUGGAAGAAUAAGCACCGGCUAACUACGUGCCAGCAGCCGCGGUAAUACGUAGGGUGCAAGCGUUAAUCGGAAUUACUGGGCGUAAAGCGUGCGCAGGCGGUUUUGUAAGCCAGAUGUGAAAUCCCCGAGCUUAACUUGGGAACUGCGUUUGGAACUACAAGACUAGAGUGUGUCAGAGGGGGGUAGAAUUCCACGUGUAGCAGUGAAAUGCGUAGAGAUGUGGAGGAAUACCGAUGGCGAAGGCAGCCCCCUGGGAUAACACUGACGCUCAUGCACGAAAGCGUGGGGAGCAAACA
rnacentral:rRNA from 1 species